GACUGGAUAGCCUAGCAGUAAAGGCAUCACAUUGACAUUGUGUUUUGGCUUACAUGCUGAGGUCCCAGGUUUGAAUCCUGGUCAAGUCA
rnacentral:tRNA from 1 species